CCUACGGGAGGCUGCAGUGGGGAAUAUUGGGCAAUGGGCGCAAGCCUUACCCAGCAAUACCGCGUGAGUGAAGAAGGUCUUCGGAUUGUAAAGCUCUUUGAUCAGGGACGAACAGAUGACGGUACCUGAAGAACAAGCCCCGGCCAACUACGUGCCAGCAGCCGCGGUAAAACGUAGGGGGCGAGCGUUGUCCGGAAUGAAUGGGCGUAAAGGGUGCGUAGGCGGGAUAAUAAGGUAGAAGUGAAAUACCCAGGGCUUAACUCGGGUGCUGCUUCUAAGACUGUUGAGCUUGAGUGCGCGGGAGGCUAAUGGAAUUCGUAGUGUAGCGGUGGAAUGCGUAGAUAUGAGGAGGAACCCCAGUGGCGAAGGCGAUUAACUGGAGCGUAACUGACGCUGAUGCACGAAAGUGCGGGUAGCAAACAGGAUUAGAUACCCGUGUAGUC
rnacentral:rRNA from 1 species